AUUGAACGCUGGCGGCAAGCCUAACACAUGCAAGUCGAACGAGUGGCGGACGGGUGCGUAAUGUCUGGGAAACUGCCUGAUGGAGGGGGAUAACUACUGGCAACGGUAGCUAAUACCGCAUACCAUCGGAUGUGCCCAGAUGGGAUUAGCUAGUAGGUUGGGUAAAGGCUCACAUAGGCGACGAUCCAUAGAUGGUAUGAGUGGAUGACCAGCCACACUGGAACUGGGACACGGUCCAGAUUCCUCCGGGGGGGAGCAGUGGGGAAUAUUGCACAAUGGGAGCAAGCCUGAUGCAGUCAUGCCGCGUGUAUGUAGAAGGCCUUCGGGUUGUAAAGUACUUUCAGCGGGGAGGCGUUACCCGCAGAAGAAGCACCGGCUAACUCCGUGCCAGCAGCCGCGGUAAUAC
rnacentral:rRNA from 1 species